AACGAACGCUGGCGGCGUGCCUAACACAUGCCAGUCGAACGAGAAAGGGGCUUCGGCUCCGAGUAAAGUGGCGCACGGGUGAGUAACACGUGGGUAACCUGCCUCUAAGAUUGGGAUAACUCGUCGAAAGAUGAGCUAAUACCGAAUAAGACCACAGUUCCCGCGGGAACAGGGGUCAAAGGUAGCCUCUGCUUGCAAGCUAUCACUUAGAGAUGGGCCUGCGCACCAUUAGCUAGUUGGUAGGGUAACGGCCUACCAAGGCAAAGAUGGUUAGCUGGUCUGAGAGGAUGAUUAGCCACACUGGAACUGAGACACGGUCCAGACUCCUACGGGAGGCAGCAGUGGGGAAUAUUGCGCAAUGGGCGAAAGAUUGACGCAGCAACGCCGCGUGAGUGAUGAAGGCCUUCGGGUCGUAAAGCUCUGUCGGGAGGAACGAAUGCUCCUGAGGUUAACAGCCUCGGGAGGUGACGGUACCUUCAAAGGAAGCACCGGCUAACUCUGUG
rnacentral:rRNA from 1 species